GUCUUGCUUCAGCAACACAUAGACUAAAAUUGGAACGAUACAGAGAAGAUUAGCAUGGCCCCUGCACAAGGAUGACACACAAAUUCGUGAAGCAUUCCAUAUUUAA
rnacentral:snRNA from 1 species